UACGUAGGGGGCUAGCGUUGUCCGGAUUUAUUGGGCGUAAAGAGCGUGUAGGCGGCCAGGUAGGUCUGGUGUGAAAACUCGAGGCUUAACCUUGAGAUGUCAUCGGAUACCAUUUGGCUAGAGUCCGGAAGAGGAAAGUGGAAUUCCUGGUGUAGCGGUGAAAUGCGUAGAUAUUGGGAGGAACACCAGUGGCGAAGGCGGCUCACUGGACCGGUACUGACGCUGAUGCGCGAAAGCGUGGGGAGCAAACGGG
rnacentral:rRNA from 1 species